ensembl:lncRNA
AUGCUCAUCCAAGCUGCUCAGUAACCCAGACAGUACACAGUCACUGCACCCACGUGCUCCAGAAAGUUUCCAGCCAAAAGAAAAAAAAACAUCAUUACUUAGCCAUGAAAGUCAGCCUCCAAACCCAUGGAUUAAUUGGAAAUUGGACACAGGAUUUGGCUGGCAUGGCACAAAUCCUUUGGUUGCAUUAGGCUUAAAAGACGUUCUGGCUUAAGGGAGAAGAGCAACAAAGGAAAAGUCUGCUGGACAGAUUUUGGUUUAAGGUAGGUUGCUUAAGAUAGAUGACAUUCAUCGAGUAUUUACCAUGUAAGUACUUCCAUCUUUGCUGGAUGACGAAUUUUUCAUUGGUCACUUCAUUUAAUUUCACAGGAACUCUACGAGAUAACUCAAUGUGCCUAUUCAAUGGAUCCAAGUCACCCAGCUAGGAAUUGUGCAGGCAGACAUGUAAUUUAGGCCGCUGGACUCCGGAGCCACAUUCUUACCUACCAUUGGAUAGAUCUCACUACACUGUUUGGGCUUCUGCUUGUUGUCAGGGCUAAACAAUUGGGAUGCAGUCCUGGUUAUUAAUUCUGUGCUAUCCCUAACAGGCAUAAUGUUUUAAAGCUGAUGAGAGAGAAAACUUUUUUUUUUUUUUAAUCAAUGCAUUCUACUUGACGUUAAGGAUUUCACUGCUGCCAGAAGAAUCAACUAACAGGUUGAGAUGCUCUUAGUCAUUCACACGGGAUUUAUGCUUGUGCCUUGCAAGGCAUAUGGUCAUGAAGAAUUGUGACUUGCCAUUAAAUUUGAGAAAAAUGCUCUUGCUUUCAACAAAUGAAUGCAAUUGGGUUGAUAGCAUGUGUCUAACCAGACAAGACAGAGAUGCAGAAGUUAAAUCUCUGGCAGCUUUUAUGUACAGAUAUGCAGUUUAUGAGACAUUGACAAAAGCAUUUAUUCCUGCUUUCUUUCUACUUCUGAAUCUUAAGUAUACUAGCAUCAAAAAUGAAGGAAAAAAGCAUUCUCAUAGAGUUCAUCUGAUAUCAGAAACUAUGAAAGGGGAUUUGAUACAAGAGAAUAUUGGAGCAGGAGCUCCAUCCACAAUCUUGAUAUACUCUUGAAAAUAUUUUCACGUUUGAAACCACUGAGAAAUAUAGAAUAUGCUAGCUGGGAUCCCUGGGUGGCGCAGCGGUUUGGCGCCUGCCUUUGGCCCAGGGCGUGAUCCUGGAGACUCGGGAUCGAAUCCCACGUCGGGCUCCCGGUGCAUGGAGCCUGCUUCUCCCUCUGCCUAUGUCUCUGCCUCUCUCUCUCUCUCUCUCUCUCUCUCUGUAUGACUAUCAUAAAUAAAUAAAAAAUUAAAAAUAAAUAAAUAAAAUAG